UAGUCCACGCUGUAAACGAUGGUCACUAGGUGUUCGGACUUCGGUCUGAGUGCCCAAGCGAAAGCGAUAAGUGACCCACCUGGGGAGUACGUUCGCAAGAAUGAAACUCAAAGGAAUUGACGGGGGCCCGCACAAGCGGUGGAGCAUGUGGUUUAGUUCGAUGCUACGCGAAAAACCUUACCAACCCUUGACAUGGUGGUCGCGAGAGAUAGAGAUGACUCUCUUCAGUUCGGCUGGACCACACACAGGUGUUGCAUGGCUGUCGUCAGCUCGUGUCGUGAGAUGUUGGGUUAAGUCCUGCAACGAGCGGAACCCUCAUCCUUAUUUGCCAGCGGUUCGGCCGGGGACUAUAAGGAAACUGCCGGUGAUAAGCCGGAGGAAGGUGGGGACGAUGUCAAGUCAUCAUGGCCCUUAUGGGUUGGGCUACACGCGUGCUACAAUGGUAUCUACAGAGGGAAGCAAUAUGGCAACAUGGAGCAAAUCCUCAAAGGAUAUCU
rnacentral:rRNA from 1 species